UGGCUCCUUUCUGUUACCAGGUUGAAAACAAGAAGGCUGAGGUGAUAUCCUUCACGUCCAUGCGCCUUUUGAAUGAGUUGCUUGUUUUGUUGUAUGGCUUGUCCAAGGAAGAUGUUGCUGCUUACCUAAGGCGGACGUCGCAAGGGUCAAACAGCAGCAGUUAUUGUAACCGAGGUGAAAGAAUUUGUUUUUAUGUACAAAACAAGGCCUGGAAAGCUUAUCAUUGGAUUUAACUAUGGACGAGGAUUCUGAUUUUGAAAGGGUAGAGGAAGCAAUCACCACAAGAGAUAUGCAAGAAGAUUUAAAGUGCACUCUUCAAACUUUGCACAUACAGAUGGAGUAUUGUGAGAAGAGUACUCUAAGGAAUGCUGUUGGGAGAAGGUGGCGGAUUCUCCGUGAUAUUGUAGAAUUUACAACUAAUGAUGCACCAAGAAAUUGACUAAUCAAAACACAACACGUUAACUCAAUUUUUGCCAUACUUUAAGAUUAACACAUGAUUUUACUAAACAGUUGUAUGCAUUACGUACUAAUGAGAUUUGUCAUUUGAAUCAGUUCUUCAGCUUGUGCCCAAAGAUUAAUUGGCAAAAUUUGAAACAUUUGAGAAGUAUCAUUCAAAUAUCUCCUAUAAACCAAGCUUGGUUAGGUCUUUGAAGUUUCUUUUUACAGAGAAUUUUAUCUUUGAUCGAAGUGUAAAAUAGGAAUGGUACUGUGACUUCAUGAAAAAUGUGAAAUCUAAAUUUAUUUUUUCCGUAAAGUUUUCGUUUUAGUAACUAAUAUUUGUUGUUCCAUGCAUGAGUUUCGACCCUUAAUUCUGUUCAACGACAAAUGAUCACCAAACGUGAUCGAGAUACAUUGAACAAACAAUAGUGGUUUAUAUAAUUAUAUUCACAACGAUGGUGGACACGUAUAACUUGAUCAUUCUUCACAAUGAAGACGUGUUUUGCUUAUGUUAAUCGUUCCGCUAAGGCUGUGUUGCCUAUAAUAAAGAAAAAUUUGUGCUAUGCA